GACUGAUGUGGUAUAGUGGUCUGAGCAUUGGGCUAUGACUCUGGAGAUCUGGGUUCAAAUCCCAGCUCAGGCA